rnacentral:rRNA from 1 species
CCUACGGGAGGCAGCAGUGAGGAAUAUUGGUCAAUGGGCGCAAGCCUGAACCAGCCAAGUAGCGUGAAGGAUGACGGCCCUACGGGUUGUAAACUUCUUUUAGUAAGGAAUAAAGUGAGGCACGUGUGCCUUUUUGUAUGUACUUUAUGAGUAAGGAGAGGCUAACACCGUGCCAGCAGCCGCGGUAAUACGGAGGAGCCGAGCGUUAUUCGGAUUUAUUGGGGUUAAAGGGAGCGUAGAUGGGUUGAUAAGUCAGUUGGGAAAGUUUGCGGCCCAAACGUAAAAUUGCAAUUGAUACUGGCAGUCUUGAGUACAGUAGAGGUAGGCGGAAUUCGUGGUGUAGCGGUGAAAUGCUUAGAUAUCACGAAGAACUCCGAUUGCGAAGGCAGCUUACUAAACUGCCACUGACAUUGAUGCUCGAAAGUGUGGGUAUCAAACAGGAUUAGAUACCCUUGUAGUC